rnacentral:rRNA from 1 species
UACGUAGGGGGCUAGCGUUGUCCGGAUUUAUUGGGCGUAAAGAGCGUGUAGGCGGCCAGGUAGGUCUGCUGUGAAAACUCGAGGCUCAACCUCGAGACGUCGGUUGAAACCGUACGGCUAGAGUCCGGAAGAGGAGAGUGGAAUUCCCGGUGUAGCGGUGAAAUGCGCAGAUAUCGGGAAGAACACCCGUGGCGAAGGCGGCUCUCUGGGACGGUACUGGACGCUGAGA